rnacentral:rRNA from 1 species
UGAGUAACACGUAUCCAACCUGCCGUCUACUCUUGGACAGCCUUCUGAAAGGAAGAUUAAUACAAGAUGGCAUCAUGAGUCCGCAUGUUCACAUGAUUAAAGGUAUUCCGGUAGACGAUGGGGAUGCGUUCCAUUAGAUAGUAGGCGGGGUAACGGCCCACCUAGUCUACGAUGAUAGGGGUUCUGAGAGGAAGGUCCCCCACAUUGGAACUGAGACACGGUCCAA